rnacentral:rRNA from 1 species
UACGUAGGUGGCGAGCGUUGUCCGGAUUUACUGGGCGUAAAGAGCGCGCAGGCGGUCGUUCAAGUCGCGUGUGAAAGCCCCCGGCUCAACUGGGGAGGGUCACGCGAUACUGGUCGACUCGAAGGCAGGAGAGGGUAGUGGAAUUCCCGGUGUAGUGGUGAAAUGCGUAGAUAUCGGGUGGAACACCAGUGGCGAAGGCGACUACCUGGCCUGUUCUUGACGCUGAGGCGCGAAAGCUAGGGGAGCAAACGGG